rnacentral:sRNA from 1 species
GGAGUUCCAGUUUCUGCGCUGCCAGCAAUGCCAGGCCGAAGCCAAGUGCCCGAAGCUGCUGCCUUGUCUGCACACGCUGUGCUCAGGAUGCCUGGAGGCGUCGGGCAUGCAGUGUCCCAUCUGCCAGGCGCCCUGGCCCGUAGGUGCAGACACACCCGCCCUGGAUAACGUCUUUUUCGAGAGUCUGCAGCGGCGCCUGUCGGUGUACCGGCAGAUUGUGGACGCGCAGGCUGUGUGCACCCGCUGCAAAGAGUCGGCCGACUUCUGGUGCUUUGAGUGCGAGCAGCUCCUCUGCGCCAAGUGCUUCGAGGCACACCAGUGGUUCCUCAAGCACGAGGCCCGGCCCCUAGCAGAGCUGCGCAACCAGUCGGUGCGUGAGUUCCUGGACGGCACCCGCAAGACCAACAACAUCUUCUGCUCCAACCCCAACCACCGCACCCCUACGCUGACCAGCAUCUACUGCCGAGGAUGUUCCAAGCCGCUGUGCUGCUCGUGCGCACUCCUUGACAGCAGCCACAGUGAGCUCAAGUGCGACAUCAGCGCAGAGAUCCAGCAGCGACAGGAGGAGCUGGACGCCAUGACGCAGGCGCUGCAGGAGCAGGAUAGUGCCUUUGGCGCGGUCCACGCGCAGAUGCACGCGGCCGUCGGCCAGCUGGGCCGCGCGCGUGCUGAGACCGAGGAGCUGAUCCGCGAGCGCGUGCGCCAGGUGGUAGCUCACGUGCGGGCUCAGGAGCGCGAGCUGCUGGAGGCGGUGGAUGCGCGAUACCAGCGCGACUACGAGGAGAUGGCCAGUCGGCUGGGCCGCCUGGAUGCUGUGCUGCAGCGCAUCCGCACGGGCAGCGCGCUGGUGCAGAGGAUGAAGUGCUACGCCUCGGACCAGGAGGUGCUGGACAUGCACGGUUUCCUGCGCCAGGCGCUCUGCCGCCUGCGCCAGGAGGAGCCCCAGAGCCUGCAAGCCGCCGUGCGCACGGACGGCUUCGACGAGUUCAAGGUGCGCCUGCAGGACCUCAGCUCUUGCAUCACGCAGGGGAAAGAUGCAGCUGUAUCCAAGAAAGCCAGCCCAGAGGCUGCCAGCACUCCCAGGGACCCUAUUGACGUUGACCUGGUGAGAUGGGUUUGAGGUCUGAAGGGGAGGUGGUGGGGCCCAGCAGGUCAGGCAGGUUGUGAGUCCUGCUGUCCCUGUGUGUGCAGGGAGAGUGUCUGAGUGAGCGACAGCAAGUGGCUGGGCUGGAAAUUUCAGUGAGAGGAAAUAAAGGAAGACAUUAAAGAAGGGUUGGCUGGCUAGCUGGCUCUGACUCUAGGCUCCUAAAUGCCAAAGUUGCUCUUGAUGGGCCAUGAGCCAGGUUCAGUGGGGGUUAGAUGUGGGGUAGACAGUCAGCCACAGAUCAGGGCUGCUGCAGAGGGAAUUCCAGCAUUAGAUGGCAUAUGAGUGCCUUCCAGCCAUGAGAAACUAUGGUUGUCAGAUGUAUGGUUAGAUGUAGGGUCAGCAGCCCUGAGGGAUGUGGCAGAUGUCCUCUCCCCUCCUACACCCUACCCCCAAUGUGUGAGCCUUCUCUUGGAGUCAGAAUAGGUGGGCCUUCCCCUGCUCUUUCCCCACAGAUGGUUCUUGGAAAGGAAUGGGGAAUGGUGCCAGGAGUCAGACUUCGAUCCCAGUUGCCCGGGUUCUGCUGGUGUGAUUCCAGGGCCAUCAUACAUGUAACAAACCAGAGUGUCUCAGGGUUGGAAGGUAUACAUGUCCCAUCUAAUGCUGACAUUCCUUCUGCAGCACCCCUGACCUGUGGCUGUCCAGCUUUCAUGUACACAUCUCCAGGGACAGGAAGCUUGCUCAUUCUAGAGGCAGCUGCUCCCAACUCUGGGCUGCUCUGACUUAGAAAGUGCUUUUCCGAGUGGAAAUGCAGUGGUGUCCCUUUGACUUGCCCCCUUUGGCACUCACAAGUAGGGCUCCUUUCCACCAGAAUAAGCAUCCUCGGUUUCUUCCUGGACCUGGCAUCUGGUCUUUUCCCCAGCCUAGUCACUCAGGUUUGCAUGCACCUAGCCUAUUAAGGAUCUGGCCCAGGACUGGCCAGUCCUUCAUGGACAGCAGGUCUUCUAGUGGUGGGUAGGGGCCUAGCUUUUGCCAUGGCAUGACCCAUAGGAGAGAGAGAGUGCUGUAGGUUGAGGCAAUCAGGAGAGGCUUCCUGGAAGAGACAGGACUUAAGAGUCUCAGAGUUUUAGAGCCAGGCAAGAGCAUGGAGUCUAACCCCCUUUUUUUUACAGAGGACGAAGCUAAGACCCAGAAAGGAUGUGACUUACCCAAGGCUACACACAGCAAAUUAGGGGCCAGAUUAAAAGCUGACUCUGUUUUUUGUUUGUUUGUUUGUUUUUUAGACGAAGUCUCGCUCUGUUGUUCAGGCUGGAGUGUAGUGGCGUGAUCUCGGCUCACUGCACCCUCCACUUCCGGGGUUCAAGCCAUUCUCCUGCCUCAGCCUCCUGAGUAGCUGGGACUAUAGGCGCGCACCACUACACUCGGCUAAUUUUUGUAUUUUUUAGUAGAGAUGGGGUUUCAUCAUAUUGGCCAGGCUGGUCUUGAACUCCUGACCUCAUGAUCUGCCCACCUCGGCCUCCCAAAGUGCUGGGAUUACAGGCGUGAGCCACUGUGCCCAGCCUAAAAGCUGACUCUUAACUGCCUUGGGUACUGCAUUCCUAUAUACACAAUCUCAAAUAAAAAGAGGAAUUUUUUAAUAUAUGUGUACAUAAUACAAUCACAUAGUCAGAAAUAAAAACAUAGAAAGUGAUCAAUAGUGUCUUACUCCCACUUCAGACCCCAGUUCUUAUGCCCAUAUAACUAUCUUUUAAAAAUUUCUUUUGAGACAGUCUUGCUCUGUCACCCAGGCUGGAGUGCAGUGACACAAUCUCUGCUCACUGCAACUUCUGCCUCCUGGGUUCAAGCGAUUCUCAUGCCUCAGCCUCCUGAGUAUCUGAUUAUAGGCACGCACUACCACACCCAGCUAAUUUUUUGCAUUUUUAGGAGAGAUGGGGUUUUGCUAUGUUAGCCAGGAUACUCUCAAACUCCUGGCCUCAAGUGAUCCACCCACCUCAGCCUCCCAAAAGUGCUGGGAUUACAGGCAUAAGCCACCGUGCCCCACCUCUUUUUUCAUUUCUUAUAUAUCCUUCCAGAAUUUAUUUAUGUAAUUACAAGCAAAUAUUAUUAUAGAUAUUUGCCUUUUGCCUUCUGUGUUUCACAAAGGUAGGAUAAUACCAGGUACACAUAGUAUCAUACAAGAAUUCUUAUCCUAUCAAUAGGUAGAGAGCUUCCUGAUACCUUUUUGCAGCUGCAUAAUGGACCGUUAAAUGGAUAUGGCAGGCUUUAUUUAGCCAGUUCCUUGUUGCUGCAUAUUUAGGUUGUUUUGCUAUUACAAACAAUGCUACAAUGGAUGAUGUUUGCAAAUAAAUAAUAUAAAAUAAUAAGGCCAGGUGUGGUGGCUCACACCUGUAAACCCAGGACCUUGGGACACUGAGGCGAGCAGAUUGCUUGAGUCCAGGAAUUUGAGACCAGCCUCGGCAACAUGGUGAGACCCUGUUUCUAUAAAAAGUUUAAAAAUCAGCCAGGUGUGGUGGCACGUGCCUAUAAUCCCAGGUACUCAGGAGGCUGAGGUGGGAGGAUCACCUGAGCCCAGGGAGUUUGAGGUUGCAGUAAGCUGUGAUCACACCACUGCAUUGUAGCCUGAGUGACAGAGUGAGACUCUGUCUCAAAAAACAAACAAACAAAUAAAAUCAAAAUAAUAAUAGGGAAAUGCUCUUGGUCCACAGACUCAGCUGUCUUCCAGAUGCUAGUCAUUGGUGAAUGAACAGCAAGAGAGCCUGCACUGUCUUGUGUGAAGGUCUAGGUAUUUUGGGUCUUUGUCUUGAUAAAAUCAGGAUAGAUAUGGCCUCUCACUAUCAGCUAGGAAGCAGUUUGAACUUGCAGUAUCAGAGGGUUGCUCUUUUUGCAAAGCCUCUGGCUUCAGUCCUUGCCUGGGGAUGGCAGUGGAGCUGAGGGAAGGCAGUGGGGAACACAGUGUGAGUGCAAGGACAGGUGAGGCAGGCACAGAUGGCUGUCCCAAGGGAAAGUGCUCCAUCAGCUGUGCCAGGAGAGAAGCAGCUCUUGGGUCCGUGUUUCUGCCUUAGAAGGCAGGAGUUGGGCAUCUAGGUCCAGCGCUCAUCCCUCUUGAAACUGCUGGUUUGCUUACUUUCAUUGCAACUAUAUGCCUGGAAGAGAUGAAGAGAAAGCUCAGCAGGCUUCACUAGGAUUGUUUGGGUGGGGCGGCAGCAGCUCAGAUAUUUUCCCUCCUCUGUUUCUCAUAGGCUGUUUGUAAUCGUGUUAUAAUACUUUAAUGGAAAAAAAUAAAUUUAUUAUUUUAAAGCUAUAAAAAUUAUAAAUCAGUCAUUAUGAUGUGUUUUUCUCUACUGAGCCCUCUGGUGUGUUCCCUGUUUUAUUAACGUGGAUGGAGGGUGUAUCAGGGAGGUUGGGACAGAGGCAGAGAGGAGGCCAGCCCGGCCUUUGGGGAGUUCGUGGCCUGUCUGGAAAGAGGGUCUUUUACAUACCAGCAGUUUGCAGAGGCAGACACAGAAUGAUAGAGCAGGACCUUUUAAACUCCUUUUUC